UGUUAAGAAGGAAAAUCAUCUCAAUCAUGAUCAAGUAUUGCAUCUACACUAUCGUAGUGAUCUCCUACUUUUCAGCAUCUGUUAAAGCUCAAAUAAAAUCGUGCUUUUGAGAAAUUAUCUUGAAGUCAAUGUGGAUAUUGAAACCCUACGGAUAUUGCUGCUCCCAACCCCGUAUGAUUGUUGGUGCAUUCUUCUACUUUGGUAGCUCAUUUAUUAAUUUGUUUAUAUUAUGGUUUAAUUAAUGUAUUACGAUUUAGGCUAUUAGUAGGAUUUUUUCGAGAAUUAUGCCUACCAUAGUACCUAUAAUUGAACAUGAUAUGAAUAUAAUUUUUUUAUUGUCAACGAUAAGGCCUUGAGGUAUUAUGGUUAGUAUUAUAAGAUUUGGUUGAAUAGUGUUACUUUCAGACAUUUAAUUUGUGACGCUUUUUUUAACGAUUUAUUAUUUAUAUUCUUAUUCUUAAUGCCAUGUUAAUGGAUUCAUAGUUCUUCAUAGAAACUACUUAUUAUUAUUUAAAGGCAACAUUUAUUGGUAUUCAAUCACUUUUAAUGAUAUCCACCUUUCUUGUAAAAUUCGGUCGCACGGCCCCCUCCUGCGGAUCCCGUUUAGAAAUUUUACGGGUAAUGGACUUCUUAAGGGACUCAAGAGACGAAUUAUACUUGUUACAGGUCUCAUGCUCGAUUCUCUAUUAGAGAUAGAAAUCGCAUGGGUUAUUGCAGGUUACUAUUGGAUUUCAUCGAGUUGAUAAUUUUUUGUCAUUGAUCACGAUGGUGGCCUUUUUGUCCUCCGUAAGGAGACAAUUGGCAGUCUUGAGCCAAUAGAAAAAUCCCAGCUCAACACUCAUGGCUUUCUUGAUGGCCGUCUUGGUCACGAUCCUGUCCUUGCAAGCUUGGCAAUGGGGUGGUCAGAUUUGCAUCAAUUGACUUUUUGAGCCACUCCACGAACUUGGGGGAUAGUUUUUUUCAGCAAACACCUUGUGAUGUUUCCUUCGGGUCUUCCUUUCGGCAUCAAAUUUAUCACACGCCCGGUAAACUGUACUUUUCGAGUACUUGAGAAGCUUGAUAAUAUCAUGCACAGUGAAUCCCGCGGUUAACGGUUAUUUUGGCCUGCUCCAUUUGUAACUGUUGACUGAUUUAAAAAAAAAAAAAAAAAGUUUUUUGUACUAACAACACA
rnacentral:lncRNA from 1 species